rnacentral:lncRNA from 1 species
AUCAUGACUAAAUUUUCAUGACAUUGCAAAUAUGGUUCGGGUUCGGUACGGACAUGUACUUUAUGUUGUGGCGGGAUAACCAAAUUUAACUAUGCUAACAAAUGACCUUCUAUCGUACUUGUAUAUCCUUGUACAUGUCAAGAAAUUUAAAUUGCUUACAAUAUAAAUAACUAAGAUAUCGUAGCUGUUGUACAACAUAUAUAUUUCCCGAAAGUUGAUUAAACAUGAUAUAGAAAGGGUUUUUAAAUAUUGCCAAUUUCAAAUGGGUGCAUGGUUGAUUGAAAAAAAAUAUUGCUAUCUCGAUUUUUCAGAUCUAACAUUAUGUCUCUUUGUUUCACGAAGUAUAUUAUUCCGGAUCUCUACAUUAUAUGUAAUGAUUAUAAAGUUUUAGAAUUAGUCAUUUCGUACUGAAUCAGCG